rnacentral:rRNA from 1 species
UACAGAGGGGGCAAGCGUUGUUCGGAAUUACUGGGCGUAAAGGGCGCGUAGGCGGCCUGUUAAGUCGAACGUGAAAUCCCCGGGCUCAACCCGGGAACUGCGUCCGAUACUGGCAGGCUUGAAUCCGGGAGAGGGAUGCGGAAUUCCAGGUGUAGCGGUGAAAUGCGUAGAUAUCUGGAGGAACACCGGUGGCGAAGGCGGCAUCCUGGACCGGCAUUGACGCUGAGGCGCGAAAGCUAGGGGAGCGAACAGG